GUAUCUGUGUAUGUGAUACAGAUUCAUGUUGAUUUACAUAAAUUUUAACUUUGAUUCUCUCGGCUUAUAGACAACGUUUAUUUUUAAAAUUACUUCGCCAAUGAACUCAUAAGAUGAGUCGUUUUUUAAAAGAUUCGCGCACACGUUCGUGUUACAACAUUCGUGUCCGUGUUGUAUCCGAUACAACACGGCCGCUCAUCUUGUAAAUAGUACUUAGAGACCAGCCUUCUGCAGCGAUUCUUUAUACGACGAUCCAGGGUCAAUUAUUUUUAAGGCUCGCUUUUGG